rnacentral:rRNA from 2 species
AGUUGCUAGUAAUCGCGAAUCAGCAUGUCGCGGUGAAUACGUUCCCGGGCCUUGUACACACCGCCCGUCACACCAUGAGAGUUGGUAACACCCGAAGUCCGUGAGGUAACCGUAAGGAGCCAGCGGCCGAAGGUGGGAUUGAUGAUUGGGGUGAAGUCGUAACAAGGUAGCCGUAGGAGAACCUGCGGCUGGAUCACCUCCUUUCUAGGGAG